GACGAACGCUGGCGGCGUGCCUAAUACAUGCAAGUAGGACGCAGUUGCGAACGGGUGAGUAACGCGUAGGUAACUGCCUAUUAGAGGGGGAUAACUAUUGGAAACGAUAGCUAAUACCGCCUACUAGUAGAUGGACAUGCGUUGUAUUAGCUAGUAGGUAGGGUAAUGGCCUACCUAGGCGACGAUACAUAGCCGAGCUGGGGAGGUGAACGGCCAAAAGGGGAAUUGGAAAAGGGUCAGAACCCGACGGGAGGCAGCAGUAGGGAAUCUUCGGCAAUGGGGGGAAACCUGAACGAGCAACGCCGAGGGAGUGAAGAAGGGUUUCGGAUCGUAAAGCUAUGUUGUGAAGGAAGCGGUACUUAACCAGAAAGGGACGGCUAACUACGUGCCAGCCGCCGCGGUAAUUC
rnacentral:rRNA from 1 species